CCUUCCCAUCCUCGUCCGUAUCAUAUAUUUAUCCCCCGCCUUUCCCUCUGAUGGGACUCGAGGCGACUUGCAUAUCAAAACAUAGAAAGACCCAUUCGACGGGAACAGAAUUAAAUCUGUUUUUAAAAAAGAAAAAAGAAAGCACAGUGCCUCAAAGUCCUGCAAUCCAAGUUUCUAAAUUUAACUGGUGCAGAAAGUGAGACUUUGGUUAUAUGACUGUGUUUUUCAUUCCUAUGACUGCACACACGUCUGCUUGGAACCUCCAUGGUGGCUCCUGAUAUUUACUCUUCAAAUAGUUAUAUAACCCACCAAAUACUUUUCAGGAAAGAGAUUUGCCUUGGCACAUAUCCAGCAAACAUGCCGCAGCAUGGGAGCUGGAGAACUUGGAAAAGAACUUUACCCAUAGAGAUCAGAUAAGGACCCUUAUCUCCUAAUUAUGCAGGUUAGAGUUGGUAUGUUAGUAACGCAUAUUUAGCAUUUUAAAAUAUCGAAUGGCAAUAUCCCAGGUGCAGUAGGCAGAGACAGAAGUUGAACAUUAAUCUUUUAUUAUUAUUUUAUAGCUCUCGUAUACAUCUUAAUUUCUUGACUGAUGUGACCUGGGCACAAUGUGCUUUACCAGUUGCUUUACAUGGUUUGGAACAAUACGAAAGAGCAGGGGCUGAAGACAGCUGAAAGUGGGGAAAUCAUUGUAUUCAUUCACAGAGGGGCAUCUUAAAGGCCACCAAGUCCCACCCCUGCUCUGUGCAGGAGGCAUUUCUAGCCACUGCUUCUAGGCAUCCCUGUGAGGCAACAUUCCCAACUCUUUCAGCCAUUCCUCAAAGGACUCCAGGUAGCCCUCUUAUGGACACUCUACAGGGUGUCAACAUAUUGUUAAAAUAUCCCUCUUGGGACACUGAAAUAAUGUGAGUAGAGGUUGUGGGUGUGCAUGUGGCCUUCCCCGAGCCCUCUGCUCUUAACCUUCAUGCGCUCCAUGUCCACAUGAUCGGGAACCCUGUGCAAUUCUGGUCCUCCCCUCUCAGCCCCCCAGGACGGCCUGUGGAAGAGAAAUCCAACUGCAACAGAGGGCACCCCUCUGCUUGCGCCCACCCUUCCCUACUUGAACUCUCUGCUUUUUCUUUUUUUCUUUUUGUUCUUG